rnacentral:rRNA from 1 species
GGAUAACACUUGGAAACAGGUGCUAAUACCGCAUAACAGUUUAUGCCGCAUGGCAUAAGAGUGAAAGGCGCUUUCGGGUGUCGCUGAUGGAUGGACCCGCGGUGCAUUAGCUAGUUGGUGAGGUAACGGCUCACCAAGGCCACGAUGCAUAGCCGACCUGAGAGGGUGAUCGGCCACACUGGGACUGAGGCACGGCCCAGACUCCUACGGGAGGCAGCAGUAGGGAAUCUUCGGCAAUGGACGAAAGUCUGGCCGAGCAACGCCGCGUGAGUGAAGAAGGUUUUCGGAUCGUAAAACUCUGUUGUUAGAGAAGAACAAGGACGUUAGUAACUGAACGUCCCCUGACGGUAUCUAACCAGAAAGCCACGGCUAACUACGUGCCAGCAGCCGCGGUAAUACGUAGGUGGCAAGCGUUGUCCGGAUUUAUUGGGCGUAAAGCGAGCGCAGGCGGUUUCUUAAGUCUGAUGUGAAAGCCCCCGGCUCAACCGGGGAGGGUCAUUGGAAACUGGGAGACUUGAGUGCAGAAGAGGAGAGUGGAAUUCCAUGUGUAGCGGUGAAAUGCGUAGAUAUAUGGAGGAACACCAGUGGCGAAGGCGGCUCUCUGGUCUGUAACUGACGCUGAGGCUCGAAAGCGUGGGGAGCAAACAGGAUUAGAUACCCUGGUAGUCCACGCCGUAAACGAUGAGUGCUAAGUGUUGGAGGGUUUCCGCCCUUCAGUGCUGCAG